rnacentral:tRNA from 1 species
GACCUCGUAGUUCAAGGGAUAGAAUAGAAGUUUCCUAAACUUUUGAUCCAGGUUCGAGUCCUGGCGAGGUCA